AAAGAUUUAGUUAAUUAAUAACAUUAAUUUGUCAAGUUAAAAUUAUUUUCAUAAAAUAUUCUUUA
rnacentral:tRNA from 1 species